GGCACUUUGGCCGAGUGGUCUAAGGCGCCGUGUUCAGGUUGUCAGCCGCCCAGCGCAGCUGUCCCUCUUCGCGGUCUAGUAAUAGGCGAGGGUUCGAAUCCCUCAGGUGUCA